rnacentral:rRNA from 1 species
GACGAACGCUGGCGGCGUGCUUAACACAUGCAAGUCGAGCGGUAAGGCCCUUUCGGGGGUACACGAGCGGCGAACGGGUGAGUAACACGUGGGUGACCUGCCCUCAGCUCUGGGAUAAGCCUGGGAAACUGGGUCUAAUACUGGAUAUGACUCCACGGUGCAUGUCGUGGGGUGGAAAGCCUUGUGCGGCUGAGGAUGGGCCCGCGGCCUAUCAGCUUGUUGGUGGGGNGAUGGCCUACCAAGGCGACGACGGGUAGCCGGCCUGAGAGGGCGACCGGCCACACUGGGACUGAGACACGGCCCAGACUCCUACGGGAGGCAGCAGUGGGGAAUCUUGCGCAAUGGGCGAAAGCCUGACGCAGCGAC